rnacentral:rRNA from 1 species
UACGUAGGGGGCAAGCGUUGUCCGGAAUCAUUGGGCGUAAAGCGCGCGUAGGCGGUUACUUAAGUCGGAUGUGAAAGCCCUCGGCUUAACUGAGGAAGUGCACCCGAAACUGAGUAGCUGGAGUACGAAAGAGGGUCGCGGAAUUCCCGGUGUAGAGGUGAAAUUCGUAGAUAUCGGGAGGAACACCGGUGGCGAAGGCGGCGACCUGGGUCGAGACUGACGCUGAGGCGCGAAAGCGUGGGGAGCAAACAGG